GCGGCCAAGGUGUUGUGGUGGCACGCGUCCCUCCCAAGGAUGAGGCGGGGGUUCAAUUCCCCCUGGCCGCUCCA
rnacentral:tRNA from 1 species